UAUUAUGUAUAUGUGUGUAUUUCCGUCUGUCUAGUUAUUAUGUAUAUGUAUGUGUGUAUUUCCGUCUGUCUAGUUAUCCAAGAUACUUGUUUUCUUCAACACAGUUGACCAAAGCUCUGCUUGGAUACAAGACUGAUGACUCAAUAACCAGCAUUGACAACAGGGAAGAUGAUUAUGUCCCAGGGGCAUCAGGAUCAUCAGAGGAAGACAUUUCCUAUGAAGAACAUCUGACAGGUGCCACAGGAACAACAAGGUUCUGGUCGACAAUAGAGGUGGAUGCAGUUGAAGAUUCCUUGAUGUCAGCAUUGCACAUUCUCCUCUCACAUCCGUAUCUAUGUAGUUAUUUAGUUGGGAUUGUUAGUUUAACCUCAACACUCUGCAGAUACAGCUGUGAUGAAUGUCCUCCAUCUCUCUGUUCGGGGGAAGUUUUUCCAGGUUGUUCACUUUUGGAAAGACUCAAGAAUACAAAGCCUUCUGACCUUGAUACAGAAAAACUAUUAAUCUGUUACUUGGAUAUAUUGACUCAAUUACUGAAAUGGUUGUUCCAGUUUAAAUACUUUAGAAUAGAACUACACUCCAGAAGAAUACACUACAGUUGAACUACACUACAAUAGAACUAGACUACAGUAGAACUACACUACAGUAGAACUACACUACAGUAGAACUAGACUACAGUAGAACUACACUACAGUAGAACUACACUACAGAAGAACUACACUACAUUAGAACUAGACUACAGUAGAACUA
ensembl:lncRNA